GCUGCCAAGUCAAACCCGUCUAGCCGUGAGCCGUAAGCCGUCCGCAUCUCCGCGAUCUGCUACUGCCAACUCCCAAGUGAAGCCGCGAUCUGCUGCCAAGUGAAAUCCUGUCCGUCCAGCCGUGAGCCGUGGCCACCGAUCUGCUGCUUGAAGGCCGAAUCCUCUCCACCCGAACUCGAUUUUGAAGCUUUCCGGUUUCCACCUUCCACUUUCAAGCUU
rnacentral:lncRNA from 1 species